rnacentral:rRNA from 1 species
UACGUAGGGUGCGAGCGUUGUCCGGAAUUAUUGGGCGUAAAGGGCUCGUAGGCGGUUUGUCGCGUCGGGAGUGAAAACCCAGGGCUUAACUCUGGGCUUGCUUUCGAUACGGGCAGACUAGAGGUAUGCAGGGGAGAACGGAAUUCCUGGUGUAGCGGUGAAAUGCGCAGAUAUCAGGAGGAACACCGGUGGCGAAGGCGGUUCU